CCCAGAUUCUGCAGCAGGUAGAGGAGCCCCAGCCCCGGGAGUCUCAGGUGCUCCCAUUCUCUGAUCAGGACAGAACAGACACCUCACCAUGGAGUUUGUGCUUGGCUGGGUUUUCCUGGUUGCUCUUUUAAAAGGUGUCCACUGUGACGUGCAGCUGGUGGAGUCUGGAGAAAACCUGGUGCAGCCUGGGGGGUCCCUGAGACUCACCUGUGUGGCCUCUGGAUUCACCUUCAGUAGCUAUGCAAUGAGCUGGGUCCGCCAGGCUCCAGGGAAGGGGCUGCAGUGGCUCGUAUAUGUUUAUGAUGAUGGAAGUAGCACAUACUACGCAGACUCGGUGAAGGGCCGAUUCACCAUCUCCAGAGACAACGCAAAGAACACGCUGUAUCUGCAGAUGAACAGCCUGCGGGCCGAGGACAAGGCCACAUUUUACUGUGCAAGAGACAGAGUGAGGGGACCUCACUGGGAGCCCAGACACAAACCUCCCUGCAGGAGGGGAUCAGCACCACCAGGGGGCGCACACUAUGCACAAUUCUGCUUUGUGUUGCCAGGAGCAGGUGAAGAUGGAGGUUACAGGCAGGUUUCCUCUCAGGGUCUGGGGCUUCCUGUCCACAAGCAGUUUCUCCAGGGAGCCUCUCUGGACACAGGAUUCUGUCUUUACCUAUUACCUGUGUGA